rnacentral:rRNA from 1 species
GACGAACGCUGGCGGCGUGCUUAAUACAUGCAAGUCGAACGGAAAGGCCCUGCUCUUGUGGGGUGCUCGUGUGGCGAACGGGUGAGUAACACGUGAGUAACCUGCCCUUGACUUUGGGAUAACUUCAGGAAACUGGGGCUAAUACCGGAUAGGAGCUUCUGCUGCAUGGUGGGGGAUGGAAAGUUUCGGCGGUUGGGGAUGGACUCGCGGCUUACGCGCUUGUUGGUGGGGUAGGGGCUUACAAAGGCUUCGAAGGGUAGCCGGCCUGAGAGGGGGACCGGCCACAUUGGGACUACGGUACGGCCCAGACGCCUACGGGAGGCAGCAGGGGGGAAUAUUGCACAAUGGGCGGAAGCCUGAUGCAGCAGCGCCGCGUGCGGGAAGACGGCCUUCGGGUUGUAAACCGCUUUCGCCUGUGACGAAGCGUGAGUGACGGUAAUGGGUAAAGAAGCACCGGCUAACUACGUG